CUUCACCCUAGCUCAACUUAAUUUUGAAAUUGAAAAUGUUUCAUUUUCUGUAAAUGAUAAAACAUCUAAGCCACAAAUCCUGACUGAGAGAAUGCUGUGAACACAUCUCUCUGGUAAAGUGUCAGAAACCUGGACACUGUUUCCACUGCUACCACUGAUGGUUGGGUCUUAUGUCCAUUGGAACUGCUACAUUUUACUGCGAGAAGUGGUAGAUGUGAUCAUGGAUACCCAUCUGGAGGAGAAAAUGUCAGAGAUUUAUCAACAUUUCAUAAAAUCUUUCCUGAUGGUGUUAUUCCGAAAAUGCAUUUUUUUGUGCACUACCCUUCACUUAUGCUGAAAUACGGUCCAUUAGUUCAUUUACCUAAUGGUAAAUUCAAGCACCAGUAUUUCAAGAACGUGUCCACUGUUGUUUGCAACUUCAAGAACAUCACCAAAACACUUGCUAGAAGGCAUCAGCUGAGACAGUGUUGGGAGCAAGCUGAGAAGAAAAGCAUUGGAUAUGAAGUGUGCCAUGCCUCAGAAUCAUCUGAAGUCCCAUCAGACACCCUGCCCUCUUUAGUUUUGGCUACAUUGGAAUCAAAGGUUGGCAAACCUCUGUCUAAUGAAGUCCUACAAAAAAACAAAUUCCAUCACAGUUAAUAAUACAACUUAUAAAACUGGCGAAUGCAAAGUGAUUGACACUGUACACACUGAAGAGAUUCCAAAAUUCCUCAAGAUCAAGGCAAUAUAUGGAUAUAUUGGUUUGUGGUACAUGUUUGGAAAAAUACUUCAAAUUUGACAGCCAUCUCCAUGCAUACAAAGUAACCGAAACAUCUUGGUGUGCCCUUGAAGUAGGGGAAGAGUUAGUGUACCAUGGACUGGACUCUUAUAAAGACCUAGAAGGAAAUGUUUUGAUCCCCUUGCGACACUGCAUCAAUAAACAUUAGUAUAUGUGUAUAUGCUGUAAUAUACAAUUCUGAAUGCAAUUUGGUGAAAAUGAUCAUCUUUUACUCCCUAUUAAACUGUUGUUUUAGAGAAUGAAAUGGAUGGGGAGACAUUAAUCAACCUAACUGAAACUAUGAUAGCUAAAAUAUUCCCUAAAAUGAAGGAUCAAGUUAAAUUCAUAAGAUUACAGAAAAACCUGAAGACUGAGAUGCCUACUAAGACCACACACACCAGUCAUGAGACUUCAUUUGGUUUUCCAGUUGGGUCAAUCUCAACACGCUCGAACAGGGUGGCCAGCAAAUUAUCAGUUACCAAACUUUCCUAUGUCAAUUCAGAAAAGACUUGAUGAGGAGAGUGGAGAUUUUGUUUCUUCGACGGGACGGAGCAAAUGGAGAUCAAAAAUAAUUCAAGCACUGUUUGAUCAGUUGUGCACAUAUACAUGGUAAUUUUAAUACAAUAAGUCCAAUAUAUAUAACCAAGGAGUCAUGGCAUGAAAUGAUUAAGAACAAAUUCAAAAAAGAAAGAUCACCCUUGGUUGAUGUUGAUGAGGUAAAGGAAGUUCAUAGCAGUUUCGGAAAAGUAAGGAACCAAGUGAUUUCAUCAAGGGUCCAACAGACAACCAAUGCAGACGUAAGCAUGCCACACGAAGUGACACCUUAAUGGACACUUACAGCAUUAAUAUGCUGUGAGUGUGUUAUGUUUUUAUUUUUUAAGACUGAGGGAAACCAAGACACGUAUAGGAUGAGGCCUAGGUCUGUAGAGACUAAGUCAUGCAGAUGAUUACAGCAUUGGGGUCCACUUGGAGAAAAUGAAAACAGAAUGCUUGAAAAGAACACCAAAUAUCAAACUUUUAGAGGACCGCAUGGCAUGGACAAGGAAUGAGAGGACAGACUUCAUAAAACAUCACUCUACAAAGGAAAUAUUAUCACGAUAUCCAGCCCUUAAAGUCCCCUCAGUUGAGUAGAAUAUUGUUCCAAAUUAAAAAGCAAAGAACAUUUGCUGAAAUAUUGUAUCAGUUAAUAUUGUUGUAUUGGAUUCCAAUAGAUUGCAUUUGAGGUCCAAAGCAUACUUGACACAAACAUUGAUAGAAACAUCCUGAAAAAUUUGGACCUGGUGGCACAGAAAGUGAUUAAUGAGUGCCACAGUUUGGAGUGGACAUACCGAAUUGGAUGAAGUGAAACAAACCCACAUUGAUUUGGCACACAAAGGUCUCUCAAUGGCUGCUGCUGCCUUGUUGCUUCCACUUCUAUUCAAGGAGAGUCCAAGAUCCCUUUAUGUCAUCAAUGAGGAACCAAAUAUACCCAACCCUGUACUGUAUAUUAAAGGAAGCCCCUUGGGUGCAGAUUCAGUCUUGGAAAUAAUGAUGGAAGGCGAGCAGGUCUGUGAGGUACAUGUCACCUGAUGGCAAUCUACUUCAUCUUCAACACUGAAUAUGCUCCAAAGAUGAGAAAAACGCUUUUAUUCUUUGAAAAGUAUUUGAUGUGCCAUUGAUGAUGAAACCAAAAU